GUGGACCAUAUCCUGAAAAUCAUUGGACUUAACUGCUAUCAUUUACUUAACUACUAUCUAAUAAUAUAAAUGGAAAGACUUUACAGUUUGUGUACUAAGGAUAUGUUAUUGUUUUUUCUUCAAAGGGUCCAUCGUGCUGGGAAGAUGUCUUGAUUCCAAACCAGAUGAGUGGUGAAUGCCAAUCUCCAGGCUGCCCUGGGACUACAGCAGAAUUUUUCUUUAAGUGUGGAGCACACCCAACCUCUGACCAGGACAAAUCAGUGGCUUUGAAUCUAAUAACAACCAACAGCCGGGACAUCACUUGCAUAGCAUGCACAGAUAUCAGGUGAGGCUCCCAGACAGUGCCCCCUAAGCAUCUUGCCUGCCCAGCACCACCCUCUUUGUGACUUCUUCCUGACCUAUUUCAAUGCUGUCCACCCAGUCUGGAUAUGUUUUAAUGUGAUGAAACUAUUGAAA
rnacentral:lncRNA from 1 species